rnacentral:rRNA from 1 species
UACAGAGGGGGCAAGCGUUAUUCGGAAUUAUUGGGCGUAAAGGGCGCGUAGGCGGCCUGGCAAGUGGAAGGUGAAAUCCCUCGGCUUAACCGAGGAACUGCCCUCCAAACUGCUUGGCUUGAGUCCGGGAGAGGUGAGUGGAAUUCCCAGUGUAGCGGUGAAAUGCGUAGAUAUUGGGAGGAAUACCAGUGGCGAAGGCGGCUCACUGGACCGGAACUGACGCUGAGGCGCGAAAGCGUGGGGGAGCAAACGGGG